GGCACUUGAACAGAAUAACCCGAGGUCGCGAUCACAAUACUAAUUAUUAACUAUUAUCAUCUGCAGCAUUGCCUGCUCAACCCAACAUCUGAACAUGAAUAGAAAAUCGAUAAAAGUCCGGUAGGGCACUACUGCAGCAAGUUUUCCUUCAGAUACCUGGUUGGUUGUGCACCUGUAUGAUAACAUCCAAAUUACGGUGAAAGCAAACGUGAUGUAAACUACAAUAUCGUACAUGUCGUCGCAAAAAACAGCUUCUAAAAUAUUAAAUGUUGGAUUGGUGUUUCUUCUAAGUUAGAAAAAUGUACAUAUAGUGUCUCAGGUCAAAUUUACCAAUCUAUCAGAAGUGCGAAGUCGAUGUACAAUCAUUGUCAGCGGAACACGAUGUGUAUUAAAUUGCCGGAACACAAUGUAGGCCUACUAUCAAUAGCCGGAUUUAUGUGAUCCGCAAAUAAUCGAGCGCUAAUAUUGAUUAGGUUUUAUACCACUGGAUCAUCGGAAUUGAAUUAAAUUUGCAAAUUAUGUUUCCUGUAAUCCUCGAACGAUCUUGCAUACAUAAAUAUAAUUAGGCGUAAGGAUUCUAAAUAUGUAUUACGGUAUAUUAUAUAGUUUUGUUUAUACUACAUUUAUAGGCCUAUAGUUCUGAUUAGAUGUAAGAUUUCCUAGUAUGUAAGAAAUAAAC
rnacentral:lncRNA from 1 species